rnacentral:rRNA from 1 species
AUUGAACGCUGGCGGCAGGCCUAACACAUGCAAGUCGAGCGGUAACAGAAAGUAGCUUGCUACUUUGCUGACGAGCGGCGGACGGGUGAGUAAUGCUUGGGAACAUGCCUUGAGGUGGGGGACAACAGUUGGAAACGACUGCUAAUACCGCAUAAUGUCUACGGACCAAAGGGGGCUUCGGCUCUCGCCUUUAGAUUGGCCCAAGUGGGAUUAGCUAGUUGGUGAGGUAAUGGCUCACCAAGGCGACGAUCCCUAGCUGGUUUGAGAGGAUGAUCAGCCACACUGGGACUGAGACACGGCCCAGACUCCUACGGGAGGCAGCAGUGGGGAAUAUUGCACAAUGGGCGCAAGCCUGAUGCAGCCAUGCCGCGUGUGUGAAGAAGGCCUUCGGGUUGUAAAGCACUUUCAGUCAGGAGGAAAGGUUAGUAGUUAAUACCUGCUAGCUGUGACGUUACUGACAGAAGAAGCACCGGCUAACUCCGUGCCAGCAGCCGCGGUAAUACGGAGGGUGCGAGCGUUAAUCGGAAUUACUGGGCGUAAAGCGUACGCAGGCGGUUUGUUAAGCGAGAUGUGAAAGCCCCGGGCUCAACCUGGGAACUGCAUUUCGAACUGGCAAACUAGAGUGUGAUAGAGGGUGGUAGAAUUUCAGGUGUAGCGGUGAAAUGCGUAGAGAUCUGAAGGAAUACCGAUGGCGAAGGCAGCCACCUGGGUCAACACUGACGCUCAUGUACGAAAGCGUGGGGAGCAAACGGGAUUA